rnacentral:rRNA from 1 species
AGAUUAAGUUAUUAAGGGCGCACGGUGGAUGCCUUGGCACUAGAAGCCGAUGAAGGACGUUACUAACGACGAUAUGCUUUGGGGAGCUGUAAGUAAGCUUUGAUCCAGAGAUUUCCGAAUGGGGAAACCCAGCAUGAGUUAUGUCAUGUUAUCGAUAUGUGAAUACAUAGCAUAUCAGAAGGCACACCCGGAGAACUGAAACAUCUUAGUACCCGGAGGAAGAGAAAGAAAAUUCGAUUCCCUUAGUAGCGGCGAGCGAAAUGGGAAGAGCCCAAACCAACAAGCUUGCUUGUUGGGGUUGUAGGACACUCUAUACGGAGUUACAAAGGACGACAUUAGACGAAUCAUCUGGAAAGAUGAAUCAAAGAAGGUAAUAAUCCUGUAGUCGAAAAUGUUGUCUCUCUUGAGUGGAUCCUGAGUACGACGGAGCACGUGAAAUUCCGUCGGAAUCUGGGAGGACCAUCUCCUAAGGCUAAAUACUCUCUAGUGACCGAUAGUGAACCAGUACCGUGAGGGAAAGGUGAAAAGCACCCCGGAAGGGGAGUGAAAUAGAACCUGAAACCGUGUGCUUACAAGUAGUCAGAGCCCGUUAAUGGGUGAUGGCGUGCCUUUUGUAGAAUGAACCGGCGAGUUACGAUUUGAUGCAAGGUUAAGCAGUAAAUGUGGAGCCGUAGCGAAAGCGAGUCUGAAUAGGGCGUUUAGUAUUUGGUCGUAGACCCGAAACCAGGUGAUCUACCCUUGGUCAGGUUGAAGUUCAGGUAACACUGAAUGGAGGACCGAACCGACUUACGUUGAAAAGUGAGCGGAUGAACUGAGGGUAGCGGAGAAAUUCCAAUCGAACCUGGAGAUAGCUGGUUCUCUCCGAAAUAGCUUUAGGGCUAGCCUCAAGUGAUGAUUAUUGGAGGUAGAGCACUGUUUGGACGAGGGGCCCCUCUCGGGUUACCGAAUUCAGACAAACUCCGAAUGCCAAUUAAUUUAACUUGGGAGUCAGAACAUGGGUGAUAAGGUCCGUGUUCGAAAGGGAAACAGCCCAGACCACCAGCUAAGGUCCCAAAAUAUAUGUUAAGUGGAAAAGGAUGUGGCGUUGCCCAGACAACUAGGAUGUUGGCUUAGAAGCAGCCAUCAUUUAAAGAGUGCGUAAUAGCUCACUAGUCGAGUGACACUGCGCCGAAAAUGUACCGGGGCUAAACAUAUUACCGAAGCUGUGGAUUGUCCUUUGGACAAUGGUAGGAGAGCGUUCUAAGGGCGUUGAAGCAUGAUCGUAAGGACAUGUGGAGCGCUUAGAAGUGAGAAUGCCGGUGUGAGUCUCGAAAGACGGGUGAGAAUCCCGUCCACCGAUUGACUAAGGUUUCCAGAGGAAGGCUCGUCCGCUCUGGGUUAGUCGGGUCCUAAGCUGAGGCCGACAGGCGUAGGCGAUGGAUAACAGGUUGAUAUUCCUGUACCACCUAUAAUCGUUUUAAUCGAUGGGGGGACGCAGUAGGAUAGGCGAAGCGUGCGAUUGGAUUGCACGUCUAAGCAGUAAGGCUGAGUAUUAGGCAAAUCCGGUACUCGUUAAGGCUGAGCUGUGAUGGGGAGAAGACAUUG